rnacentral:rRNA from 1 species
CUACGGGCCGCAGCAGUGAGGAAUAUUGCACAAUGGGGGGAACCCUGAUGCAGCAACGCCGCGUGGAGGAUGACGCAUUUCGGUGUGUAAACUCCUUUUAUAUGUCAAGAAAAUGACGGUAGCAUAUGAAUAAGCACCGGCUAACUCCGUGCCAGCAGCCGCGGUAAUACGGAGGGGUGCAAGCGUUACUCGGAAUCACUGGGCGUAAAGGACGCGUAGGCGGGUUGGAAAGUCAGGUGUGAAAUCCUACAGCUUAACUGUAGAACUGCACUUGAAACUUCUAAUCUAGAGUAUGGGAGGGGGAGAUGGAAUUAGUGGUGUAGGGGUAAAAUCCGUAGAUAUCACUAGGAAUACCUAAAGCGAAGGCGAUCUCCUGGAACAUUACUGACGCUAAGGCGUGAAAGCGUGGGGAGCAAGCAGGAUUAGAUACCCCAGUAGUC